CACCUUAUCAUUAUCUAAGUUGCACUGUAGUGUUGCUUUUCAGGGCUAUGGCAUUGUUUCCUUGAGUGAAUGGUAAUGCAACAUGAUCAUGAUCUUGCACUUUCGAUGCAAUACCAUUGUCUGGUUACAAGAUCCACAUGUGACAUAUUCAGUUAAAGGUUAUGCAAGUUAAUAUUUCAAGUGCUCCUUUCAUUUGUAAAUAUUGGUCGGUGCAGUCAAGUUAUCAAGUACAUUAUCUGUUACAAAAAAGCUGUUUAAGAAAGUUUCUAAACUUUGGAAGGAAUCGCUGAAUAUCAAUGCACAGAAGACAGUGCACAGCAUAGAGUAUUGCAGUCUGAUAUUAAGCUACUAUUGUUUUGGCAAUUUUGAAAGUCAGUUCAACUUUGUUCAGAAAGCCAUUUUGUUUUAUAAAACCAUUAUGGCACCACCUCCUUUUCUCGCUGCUGAAGUGAGGGUAUUGACCUCCUCUUUUCCAUUACUGAAUAGCUGAUUCCAGUGUCUUAGUUCUAAUUGUGCGUAUAUUUACACAAAAUUAAAUGGAUGUACCUCGCAAGCUUAUCUUGCUCUGAAAUUUUCAUUUUCCUGUCUGGAAUGCAAACUGGUUAUGUCAUUUCCUGUUUGAUAAGCAAUUCCAACUAAUUCAGAAUCGUGCACUGAGAUUGACUUGCUUCCUUUGCAAGACUGUCGUAUUCAGAACGUUCUUGUUAUACAGUCAUCAGUAGGCGUUGUGCCUAGCACAGUAUUUAAAGAGUUCAGAGCAUUGAAGUGUUGAACACUUUUGCAUUGUGUACAAUGAAUGCAAUCCAACAUAAAUGAUUGCUGCAGUUUCAGUAUCACAUAGUCAGGGAUGCCUAGUUACAUACUGUGCAUGGCCCUGGGAAAAAUAGCAGUCAUCAUGUAGCAGGCAGGUGCAGCCUUUCCCAGUGAUCAUUGCUAAUUGGAAACCCAUUGAUGGCAAAGUUGCCAAGUUAACUGUGUCUGCUCUUUUCUCUAUGUCCUGCUGGUCUGCAACACCUCACUCGAUGUCGGGUGACUUAUGAGCAAGCCUCAGACACAGGUGAAAUGCAAACACGCUGUCUUGGACAACUCUUGACCUGAUUGUUAUGGAAUUUAGAGCAGUUGAGAGAGAAAUUUAAGUUCUAUUGACUGUUAUAGUUGAACUUUAAUUUGGGGUCACUGCAAAAAACAAAUUGCCAGAAAGAUAAAAAUUUAAGUGUUCAGUUUUCAACUCUGACUCUGCACCAAAAAUAAAUAUUGUAAUUCUGUAAACUGUAUCUACUAGUGUCCAAAAGCAGACAAAUAUGAUCUAUUCAUUUACCACUCGCACAAAAUCUUAACGUUACCUCGAGCUCCUAUCCAGACGAGUGGUAUAUUUUGGAGUGUUGUUCACAGUAUCGUGACAGUUGUGGGGGGGGGGGGGGCAGUUUGUGUAAAAGAAAUUCAAGGCCUCAAUAAAAAAUAACCUGCUCUGUUCAGCCAGUAGAUGUUAUUUGAAUGCAACAAACCUCAUGAAAAUCGGUUCAUUGGGUGCUGACCAAGAUCAUUUCUAUAUUUUUAUAUAUUUUAAAACUCUAUGGUAAUGCUUUCUCUUAAAGGGACACUAACAUUAAAUCCAUUUAGACUGGUAUACCAAACUUCCGUUAUUUAAAUUAUGUGCUGAAACCUUAGUGAUGGUCUGUGCAGCGUCGCGGAUUUCAAUUCAUUUUUUGUUUUACAUUUCAACCAUUUUAGGCAAGAGAUGUUCUUGAUACUUGUUAGGUUAAGUCUUCUUCCUUCAGAAUUCAGUGUAGUCCUUUACUGGUCAACUAUUAACUAUAUCCGCGCAGAUGUUAUCAAAAUUCAUGAUGUCGCAGGUAGCUGGUGCAAGAAUUUUAGGGUGGCACUGCCACCAAUCCUUUCCUCACUACCAUCUUAUCUGUCUUGCCAAGAUAAGACAUGGUAAGAGCUGCGGCUUUGCUAUUCCAAAAGCAUAAUUUACUGAUACAUCUUAAUAUUCUUUAUUGCCCUUUAAGUAGCAGCCACUGCACAUAGCCCUGGGAAGACAACAUGCAUUGCUUGGCAGGCAGGCGCAGUGUUUCCAGGUAGUCUUCUUUGCCAUUUAGGAACCUUAAGUUAAUUGCGUCCACUAAGACAGCAUGCCCCAUCAGUCCGCCAUAGACCAGCAGGGCAUCAUACUUGAAUUGCUUAAAUUAAGCAUAUUUGAGCCAUACAACAUUGAGGGAGAAAGAUGUCUGCCAUUGAAGUUCAGCUUCAUUAAGUUCAAGCUGGUAAUGUCAAAAUGAGCGCUUGACAUGUAGAUGUGUGCUAAAUGUAUGUGCUGAAUUAUGGGGAAGCUUGCUUAUGCUUUCACAAAAAUGCAAACUCUAUGUGAUGCAAAUACAAGUGCCACCACUAUGCCUUGUCAAUCUUUGCCAUAUAACUAUGCAGCAACACAGCACUUAGCCAACAAUAACAGCAUUCACAUAACCAGUUUCAAAACCUUCCUAUCUUUCCACGCAGUUUUCUUUUUUUCUUAACAUAUACUGUGGUUAUGAGAAAUUGAUACAUCUAGCCAAGUAGAUGUGCAAUACAAAUGUUACUAGCACUCUGAAAGUGUUCCUUUCACAUUUGUAUGCUUUGUAAGUUUACAAAUCCUUGUGUGCCUAAAUAAAAGUGCAAGUACUAUUUUCAGAGUUUGCUUUCUUGAGGUACUGUGACUGGUGAAUAAUAAAAGUGCUUACUUCUGUUUG